AAAUUGAAGAGUUUGAUCAUGGCUCAGAUUGAACGCUGGCGGCAGGCCUAACACAUGCAAGUCGAGCGGAAACGACACUAACAAUCCUUCGGGUGCGUUAAUGGGCGUCGAGCGGCGGACGGGUGAGUAAUGCCUAGGAAAUUGCCUUGAUGUGGGGGAUAACCAUUGGAAACG
rnacentral:rRNA from 1 species